AUGGCUGGGGGCCCAGGGCUCCUCCCAGGAUCCCUUCCCGCUUCCCAGGCCCCAGGGCAGGGCCAGGAUCCCUGCCACCAUCACUGCCCCGGGGGGCCAGGCCAGGAGGGCCCUCCUGGACAGGCAGACGGGCAGCAUGCUGCCCUGCUGUGGCCCGAGGACCUGACCCGCCAGGGCAGUGUGCCAGGGCCUCCAGGUGCCAGCCUAGAUUCCAGCCCCGUUCCAGGGGGCCUGCGGGAAGCGGGGUGCCGGCAUCUCCCUCCCUCGGGAUGCACCUGCCUCACCCCUCCCCCACUCCUCCAGACCCUCCUGCGGGCCGCCGGGUCCCCUGCCCCCUUCACUUGGCCGGGUUCUUCUGCUUCCACGCAGACAGCAGUGGACAGACAAGUGCCAGCCCGGCCUCCGGCUCCGGGUCCUGACCCCGCAGCACCCCCGGUCCCGACCCCCAGGGACGCCUCCCUCCCUCCCCCCGGCCCAGGAAGGGCCCGGGCUAGCCCGGGGCAGCAGGGGGGAGACUUUCCCGGACGAGGGAGGAGACACCUUCCAAACCCCGUCCUGGAAACAGCCCGGCGCAGCCGUGGGAAGGGGCGGCUGCCCGGCGCCCCAGACAACUUCGUGCCCAGGCUCCAGGGCCCCCCCGGCCCGCAGCGCGCCCCCUCCGCGGCCGCCCAACUUCCCUGCCGAAGUUUGCUCCCGCCCCGGGCCCGGCCGCGGCUCGGCCCGGCCUCCGGACGGAGGGAGGGAAGGAGGGAGGAGAAAGACGGAGACGCGGAGGGGACGGGGCCGGGAGCCGGCGAGGGAGGGAGCGCGCGAGCCCAGCGAGCGAGGGAGCGAGCGCGGGGGCCCCGGCGAGGGCUCACAAUGGCCCGGGGCGAGGCGAGGCGCGGACGCGGGCGGCGGAGGCGACCCUCGGGGCCCGGGCCCCCCGCGCCCCCGCGCCCCCGCGCCCCGCCAGCCGGGUCCCGGCCCCACGGCGCGACGCCCCGGAGCUUCCUACCUCGGCGGCGGGGGCGGCGGGCUCCGGGCUGCGGGCUCCGGCGGUCGGGGGGCGGCGGGGGCGCGAGCGGGGGGGGGGCCGGGGCGGGCGGGCGCCGGGGCGCGAGGCUCACGCGGCGCGGGCUCCCCUGGCUCGGCCGCCCGGCGCCCGGCCGCUCCGCCACAUCUGCAGCUCCGGCAGGGAAGGUGGCCGCGGCGGCCGGGCCGUGCGGGGAUGUCUUGGAGAGGGAGGAGGAGGGAGGAGGGAGGCGGCGGGAGGAGGGCCGGGCGAGCCUCGGAGGAGGGGGAGGAGGAGGGGCGCGGGGGGCGGCCUCGCUCCCUCCUCCCUCCCCCGCUGGCUCCCUCGCGCCCGCCCUCCCUGCAAACCCCUCUCGCCGCGGCGGCCCCAGGCCCGGGGCGCCAGCUGCCAGGCGGGGCGUGCGCGUCGGGGGAGGGGGCGGCCGGGAGCCGGCGCGGGGCCGGGGGAAGGGAGGCAGCGAGGGCGGCGGGGCCGCGGCGAGCGGCGGGCGUCCCCCGCGGCCCCAUCCCCGCGCCCCCCACCCCCGCGCGGCCCCGCCCCCGGCCCGAGGGCAGCGCUGGGACACGGCCGGGAGGUGGCCUGGGGGGGCGGGGGGGGCGGGGGCGCGGGGGAGGGAUGUCCCGCCCUCGGGGAAGCCCGGGGAGGGGGCGGGCGGGCCCAGAGGAAGAGCCCCGGAGACGGGGAAGAUGGAGGAGGUCGCUGCGGCCGAGGGGGCGGGGGGCCCCUCGCCUCCCCCCCGCGGGGUCACCUUGGCCAGGCCCCCCGCGGCCCCGGGCGGCGGGGAGGGCGGCAGGAAUGCCUCUCCGCAGGCCCUGAUUUCUCCGCCCAGCCCAGUUCCAGGAACGCGCGGGCAGCGCCCGGCGGGCAGAGGCCCCGGCUCGGGAUUCGGGGAGGCUCAAGCCGGGGUUCGAGCCCGGACGGGAGCCCCUCCCUCGCGUCCCAAGCCGGGCUGGUCCCCCCGCCCCCCCACCCCCCGUGCCCUCGGGACGGGCAGGACGAAGUCCGGCCGGGAGCGGUCCGGACUUCCGCUCGGCCCUAGUCUUGGUCCUAGCGGUUGGGACUACCUGCGUCCCCAGCCCGAGCGCUGGGGAUCCUCGAUCGCGCCCCGACCCUCCGCGCUCCCUCCGCGCCCCUGCGCGGCGCCCGCCGUUAGGACGUGGAAGGAGUGGGUGCCGGCGAGGGCGAAAGCCCCGCACCCCCCUAAGCUGUCUUUUCCCUCCCGACGUUGA
rnacentral:lncRNA from 1 species